UACAGAGGCCUCGAGCGUUGCGCGGAAUCACUGGGCUUAAAGGGUGCGUAGGCGGACGUGCAAGUGCCUUGUGAAAUCCCCGGGCUCAACCCGGGAACUGCUUGGUAGACUGCAUGUCUUGAGGUCGGUAGGGGUUGCUGGAACAGUUGGUGGAGCGGUGAAAUGCGUAGAUAUCAACUGGAACGCCAAAGGCGAAGGCAAGCAACUGGGCCGAUUCUGACGCUGAGGCACGAAAGCGUGGGGAGCAAACGGG
rnacentral:rRNA from 1 species